CCUACGGGAGGCAGCAGUAAGGAAUAUUGGACAAUGGACGCAAGUCUGAUCCAGCCAUGCCGCGUGAAGGAUUAAGGCCCUCUGGGUUGUAAACUUCUUUUAUAGGGGACGAAAAAAGGGACUUUCUAGCUCGACUGACGGUACCCUAUGAAUAAGCACCGGCUAACUCCGUGCCAGCAGCCGCGGUAAUACGGAGGGUGCAAGCGUUAUCCGGAUUCACUGGGUUUAAAGGGUGCGUAGGCGGGUAGGUAAGUCAGUGGUGAAAUCUUCGAGCUCAACUCGGAAACUGCCAUUGAUACUAUUUAUCUUGAAUAUUGUGGAGGUGAGCGGAAUAUGUCAUGUAGCGGUGAAAUGCUUAGAUAUGACAUAGAACACCAAUUGCGUAGGCAGCUCGCUACACAUAUAUUGACGCUGAGGCACGAAAGCGUGGGGGAUCAAACAGGAUUAGAUACCCUGGUAGUCCACGCCCUAAACCUAUGAUUACUCGACAUAUGCGAUACACUGUUAUGUGUNUGNGNGAAGACAUAAGUAAUACACCGACGGAGGUACGACCGACGAGUAGUAACGUACGAAGAAGUAGUAGACGACGNGAGAGCGACGACGGACGACGACGGAGGGAGGAGG
rnacentral:rRNA from 1 species